rnacentral:miRNA from 14 species
AGAAGUUAGAGUAUUUUCUCUUAGC